CGCGUAGGCGGCCUGCUAAGUCUGAAGUGAAAGUCCUGCUUUCAAGGUGGGAAGUGCUUUGGAUACUGGUGGGCUGGAGUGCAGGAGAGGAAAGCGGAAUUACCGGUGUAGCGGUGAAAUGCGUAGAGAUCGGUAGGAACACCAGUGGCGAAGGCGGCUUUCUGGACUGAAACUGACGCUGAGGCGCGAAAGCGUGGGGAGCAAACA
rnacentral:rRNA from 1 species